GACGAACGCUGGCGGCGUGGAUUAGGCAUGCAAGUCGAACGGUAUCAUCCUUUCGGGGGUGAGAGAGUGGCGAACUGGUGAGUAACACGUAGGUUAUCUACCCUCAAGACGGGGACAACCCAGGGAAACUUGGGCUAACUACCGGAUGUGAGCAACUUUUAGUUGUUUGAAAGGUGGCGUAAGCUGUCGCUUGGGGAUGAGCCUGCGUCCUAUUAGUUAGUUGGUGAGGUAACGGCUCACCUAGGCAAUGAUAGGUAGGCGGCCUUAACGGGUGGUCGCCCACACUGGGAUUGAGAUACGGCCCAGACUCCUACGGGAGGCAGCAGUCGAGAAUAGUCUACAAUGGUCGGAAGACUGAUAGUGCGACGCCGCGUGAACGAUGAAUCCCUUCGGGGUGUAAAGUUCUUUUAUAUGUGAGCAGUGCUUCUUAUAUUAACAGUAUGGGGAGAGAGAUAUUAGCAUAUGAAUAAGCAACGGCUAACUCCGUGCCAGCAGCCGACGGU
rnacentral:rRNA from 1 species